AUAAUACUCCCUCCGUUCGGAAUUACUUGUCAUCAAAAUGGAUGUGUCUAGAACUAAAAUACAUCUAGAUACAUCCAUUUCAAUGACAGGUAUUUUCGGACGGAGGGAGUAGUAG
rnacentral:pre_miRNA from 1 species